rnacentral:rRNA from 1 species
AUUCCAGCUCCAGUAGCGUAUAUUAAAGUUGUUGCAGUUAAAAAGCUCGUAGUUGGAUUUCUGGUUUCACAGAACUGGCCUACUUCCUCAAGGUCGUGUGCGCCGUGUUUUGUGUACCAUCCUUCUAGAAAUUGUGUUCCAUCCCUUCACUGGGAUAGAUCCGAGAUCUAGAUCUUUUACUUUGAAGAAAUUAGAGUGUUCAAAGCAGGCUCGCGCUGUGAAUACAUUAGCAUGGAAUAAUGGAAUAGGACUAUAGUCUCGUCGUUGGUUACGUGGACUGCAGUAAUGAUUAAUAGGGAUAGUUGGGGGCAUUAGUAUUUAUUAGCUAGAGGUGGAAUUCUCUAAUUUGAUAAAGACUAACUUAUGCGAAAGCAUUCACCAAGGAUGUCUUCAUCA